GUGUCAGCCGCCGCGGUAAUACGUAGGGAGCAAGCGUUGUCCGGAAUCAUUGGGCGUAAAGAGCGCGUAGGCGGCCCUGUAAGUCCGUUCUGAAAGUCGGAGGCUCAACCUCCGAAAGCGGAUGGAUACUGCAGGGCUAGAGUCCGGAAGAGGCGAGUGGAAUUCCUGGUGUAGCGGUGGAAUGCGCAGAUAUCAGGAGGAACACCAACGGCGAAGGCAGCUCGCUGGGACGGUACUGACGCUGAGGCGCGAAAGCGUGGGGAGCAAACAGGAUUAGAUACCCUCGUAGUCC
rnacentral:rRNA from 1 species